rnacentral:misc_RNA from 1 species
GGAAGGAGAACCCUAAGGGUGAUACAAACUUCACACAAACACCCAUUUGCGUAAUGUGAGAUGCUUACAUAAAAUAAAAAUGGGGUAAUACAAACACCGUAAAGGUUAAAGCAACGAAAGCCUGAAAUAUUCCAACAUUUUAAGCCGCUCGAAAAGUGUAAACUAAACAUGACAAAUGGGAACUCUCGAACCUCAGAGGAAAGAAAACAAUGAAACCUAUCAGUCUUUG